CCUGCUCUGAUUGGUCACAGGUGUCCAGCGGCGACCAAUCAGCGCCCACUCGUGCCGAACAACCAGGAGAAUGGUGCAAACCCAGUUUGAAUGGGCAUUCCUUCUCCCAUUGGUCAGCACGGACUUCCAUGAGGUCAGCAGAGGCCUGCAGCCGCGAGCUACAGAGAUUCCCCGUUGGCAGGCGCCCCUCUCCCCGGUGGAC